rnacentral:rRNA from 1 species
GAUGAACGCUAGCGGCAGGCCUAAUACAUGCAAGUCGAACGAGAUUACGAGGCUUGCUUCUUAUGAAAGUGGCGCACGGGUGCGUAACGCGUAUGCAACCUACCUUAAUCAGGGGGAUAGCCCGAAGAAAUUCGGAUUAAGACCGCAUAAAAACACAGGAUAGCAUUAUCCAAUGUUCAAAUAUUUAUAGGAUUAAGAUGGGCAUGCGUGUCAUUAGCUAGUUGGCGGGGUAACGGCCCACCAAGGCGACGAUGACUAGGGGAUCUGAGAGGAUGACCCCCCACACUGUGACUGAGACACGGACCAGACUCCUACGGGAGGCAGCAGUAAGGAAGAUUGGUCAAUGGAGGGAACUCUGAACCAGCCAUGCCGCGUGCAGGAAGACAGCCCUCUGGGUCGUAAACUGCUUUUAUUCGGGAAUAAACCUUUCUACGUGUAGGAAGCUGAAUGUACCGAAGGAAUAAGGAUCGGCUAACUCCGUG